rnacentral:rRNA from 1 species
CCCUCAGGGACUGCGGAGGACAUUA